UGACCUCUGUCUAACCCGCACAAUCAACCCAGCUGAUGACCUCUAUCUAACCCGCACAAUCAACCCGGCUGAUGACCUCUAUCUAACCCACACAAUCAACCCAGCUGAUGACCUCUAUCUAACCCACAGAAUCAACCCGGCUGAUGACCUCUAUCUAACCCACACAAUCAACCCGGCUGAUGACCUCUAUCUAACCCACACAAUCAACCCUGCUGAUGACCUCUAUCUAACCCACACAAUCAACCCGGCUGAUGAUCUCUAUCUAACCCACACAAUCAACCCGGCUGAUGAUCUCUAUCUAACCCACACAAUCAACCCGGCUGAUGACCUCUAUCUAACCCACACAAUCAACCCGGCUGAUGAUCUCUAUCUAACCCACACAAUCAACCCGGCUGAUGAUCUCUAUCUAACCCGCACAAUCAACCCGGCUGAUGAUCUCUAUCUAACCCGCACAAUCAACCCGGCUGAUGAUCUCUAUCUAACCCACACAAUCAACCCGGCUGAUGAUCUCUAUCUAACCCACACAAUCAACCCGGCUGAUGAUCUCUAUCUAACCCGCACAAUCAACCCGGCUGACGACCUCUAUCUAACCCGCACAAUCAACCAAGCUGAUGAUCUCUAUCUAACCCACACAAUCAACCUGGCUGAUGACCUC
rnacentral:lncRNA from 1 species